rnacentral:lncRNA from 1 species
AGGAUGUCCAGAGGCUGACAGUGGGAAGACGGGUGUGGACAGGGAGUUGUGAUGGAGUUUUCCAGGAUGUCCAGAGGCUGACAGUGGGAAGACAGGUGUGGACGGGGAGUUGGGAGGGAGGUGAGGAGCUCUCUGCUGUCUGUAUUUCUUCCUCUGUGGCGUCUCUCUGCUCGUCUCUCUCUCAGUCCAGCUGCAUGUGGUCUGUGAAACAGCAGCUUCGCAGUGCUGAGCUGGGAUUAGGACCGGUGGGUUGCAGAGUUCAGGGUUCGAUUCCAGAGGGGGACACAGCUCUUGUAUCCCAGAGACAGGUGCUUCAGUUACUGUUCUGAUGUUUUAUUAUAGAGGUGUGUAGUGUUGACAAUAGUGUGCUGACGUCUCAUGAAGGCUGUACCUUAACACUGGCACUCGGUGACACACUGUGUGCUAAAUGCUCACCUGUACUGUGCUUUAGUACUUGAACCUGUGUACAGUUGUAAUACUCAGACCAGUGAACUGAACUCAUGCCUGUACUGAGCUUUAAUACUCAACACACCUGUGCGCUGAACUAAAACCUUUAUUCUGCUUCAGUACUCAACCCUGUGUGCUCAGCUCUCACCUGUACUGUAGUUUAAUACUCAGACACACCUGUGUACUGAUUCUUCAACUGUACUAACUGUAUUGAGCUGCAAUGAUGACACUGACACACCUGUGUGAAGAACUCUAAUAUGUACAGUUGUAACACUCAAAUUGUGUACUGAACUCUGUAUGUUGUACUAUAAUACUCCUUGACACACCUGUGUGCUGUACUCUCAACUGUACUGAGUUUUAAUACUCAAUGACAAGCCAGUAUUCUGAACUCUUGUAGUGUACUGUAAUACUCACAACUGGACUGAACUCGCCUGUAGUGAACUUGAACUCUCUCCUACACUGAGCUUUAAUACUCUGACACACCUGUGUGCUGAACUGUAUUGUUUUAGUAUUUGAACCUGAGUGCUGAACUGUUGCCUGUGGUGUUGUAGUACUCAAACUUGUGUACUGAACUCUCGGCUGUAUUGAGCUUUAAUACUUUUUGACACACCUGUGUGACGAACUCUAAUAUGUACAGUUGUAUUACUCAGACCUGUGUACUGAACUCUGAAUGCUGUGCUAUAAUACUCCAUGACACAUCUGUGUACU